GAUGAACGCUGGCGGCGUGCCUAAUACAUGCAAGUCGAGCGAACAGACGAGGAGCUUGCUCCUCUGACGUUAGCGGCGGACGGGUGAGUAACACGUGGAUAACCUACCUAUAAGACUGGGAUAACUUCGGGAAACCGGAGCUAAUACCGGAUAAUAUAUUGAACCGCAUGGUUCAAUAGUGAAAGACGGUUUUGCUGGCACUUAUAGAUGGAUCCGCGCCGCUUUAGCUAGUUGGUAAGGUAACGGCUUACCAAGGCAACGAUGCGUAGCCGACGUGAGAGGGUGAUCGGCCACCCUGGAACUGAACCACGGUCCAGACUCCUACGGGAGGCAGCAGUAGGGAAUCUUCCGCAAUGGGCGAAAGCUUGACGGAGCAACGCCGCGUGAGUGAUGAAGGUCUUCGGAUCGUAAAACUCUGUUAUUAGGGAAGAACAAAUGUGUAAGUAACUAUGCACGUCUUGACGGUACCUAAUCAGAAAGCCACGGCUAACUACGUG
rnacentral:rRNA from 1 species